rnacentral:rRNA from 1 species
ACAAUGAAGAGUUUGAUCCUGGCUCAGGAUGAACGCUAGCGGCAGGCCUAAUACCUGCAAGUCGGACGGGAACCACCCUUCGGGGUGGUGAGAGUGGCGCACGGGUGCGUAACGCGUAUGCAACCAACCCCGCACUGGGGGACAGCCGGUGGAAACGCCGGGUAAUACCCCAUGCCGACAUUCCGGGGCAUCCCGGGUUGUCGAAAGCAGCGAUGCGGUGCGGGACGGGCAUGCGUCCCAUUAGCUAGUAGGCGGGGCGACGGCCCACCUAGGCGACGAUGGGUAGGGGAUCUGACAGGACGGU